AAAAAAGCCGGAAUAGCUCAGU
rnacentral:tRNA from 1 species